ACGCAUUAUUACACGUUUAUGCCUAUUACAAUACCAGAAAUGCUACUGAAAUUAAUAAUGUUUAUAAUAUGACAUCGAUACAUAAAAAUAGGAUCAUCUUCAUUAUCAGUUAUGAUCUCGAAAAUGUACAGCUAUUACUUUAAAGAUUUUGAGUGACAAUGGUACCUGGAAUUAUAGCAGAAGAGUCCUAUGAGUAAGGCAAAACGUAAGGCAAACAAGCAACACCAGCCAAAUCUACUAGUUAGCCCAGGAACUUUGGAAAUUUGAGAAGCAAAUAAUGAAACAGAUCUCUCUAACAGCUCAAAAAUGCACAUGCAUCAAUUCAUCUUCAACUUAUGAUGAGCGGAACUUCAAUUAUUAAAGAAGAUUUUGCCAAGAAGAAACUUGAAAUUGAUUUUUCAGCUGAAUGUUAUCUGAAAAUGUAUCUCUCAAUGUAUAUCUCUAUAUCUGAGAAUUAUCUUGUAGCUCUAGAAAAUCCAAAUCCCCUUUAAAAUAAUCAGACCUCUCUUUUUAUAACCAAAGCCUUAGGGCAACAAAAUCUUUUUGUUUUUCCUUUUAGUCCUUUACUCAUUUUCAUAUUUGCCUAAAUGAUCCUUGAUUUUCUAACUCGUGCCUCAAGUUUUGAGGCAGAAUUAACAAAAAUUCUACUUGGACCCUCCCCUAGAAUGUUCCAGGAGUUUGUUACAAGAUUCUCAUGUUCAAAUACCCUUAAUACCCCUAUCAUUUAUUUUAA
rnacentral:lncRNA from 1 species